UUUUUGGAGAGUUUGAUCCUGGCUCAGGACGAACGCUGGCGGCGUGCCUAAUACAUGCAAGUCGAGCGAACCGAUAAGAAGCUUGCUUUUUG
rnacentral:ncRNA from 1 species